GGGUUGCCGGACAGUCGGCCGGGGCCUCAUGACUGUCACUCAUGACCUGGUACAGGAAACUACGUCAGGUGAUCGUCGCCCCGCAACCCG
rnacentral:tRNA from 1 species